rnacentral:lncRNA from 1 species
UCACCAUUGUUGAUUGAAUCAAUAUCACUAUUUUUAGUCAUCAAAAUUUUCUUACUCAAACCUUCAAACUCUUAAAUAUUCUAAUUCUUGAAGUAAAUUUUAUCAUUAAGUCAUUCCAUAAUAAAAAUCAAUAACUCAAAAAUUAAUCUAAAUCAAAAUUAUAUUUUUCUUAUAAUCAAAAUCAAUGUCUCUAUUCUAAGUAAAUAUAUCAAUUUUUUUUAUCUAAACAUUAACAACUCUUAAUUAAUCGAUUUAUUAUCAAAUUAAAUUAUAAAUAACUCCAAUCC